AGAGGAAAUAUAUUAUCUAGAGUCCCGACCGGUACCCGUCCUACCUGAAACACCCUCAAAUUUUAUUCGAGGUGAACUCUCCCAAAUUCGAGGUGAACUCUCACAAAUUCUCUAUCGGUGAAUACAUGUGAGUGGAGAAAAAAAAAGCAAAAUGGGGGAUUGGGCUAAAAAGAAACUUAUGGAAUUUUUGUGACCUGUCAAAAAUGACAAUCAAUUUUGCAAAACAAAACAAUGGGUUUCGGACUUUAAGAACCAAAUUUCUUUAUAAUGAAGAGGGUGUAUACAAGUUCACUUCAUUGAAUAAAAAAUAUUGCCAAAAUGCAGGAAGCAAUUUCCUUUAAGUAAUUUGGAAAGCAAACCAAACAAGGCGCUGAUUUGCAGAUGCUGCCCAUUGUUUUUGUAUGUACUUCUCAAUCAAGAGCUGCCGCAGGCGUUGACGGCGGAGGUGUCACCAUCAAAACCAUUAGAAACACCACCAAGUCAAUGAGGCAAGUGGAAGUUUUGCCAUGUAAUAGUCGACCGCUGACGCCCUUCUCCAUCAAUUGUGUAAGUACGUAUCGAAACAUUCAUAUCGUAGUCAACUAGCUAAAUCUUCAUCUUCUAGGUGUAUAGAGUACCUAUACUACCAGUCUGCAGUUCUGCAAGAGACGCAAGAAAAACAAGAAUACAAUCGCAGGAAUACUCAAAAAUUGUCCAACCUUGACUGUAAGAGAGUUCAAAUUUUAAAUCUGCAACGAAUCCAUUUAUUCCUAAGAAUCGCACUGGCUUAACGGUGGCAAUCAUUCAGAGGCAAAUGAGCUGGCCUGACAAGAAUCCCCAAGAAGCCAAAAAGAUUCAGAUCAGUCUCUCGGCAGCUACUGACGAUGUCGGCGAGUGGAAUCCAUCAAUUUUCACACAGAAAAUCAACAUCAGAAAAAUCACGACAAUGCAGCAGCGUCAUGGUCAACCUGCCGAUCAAAUAUUCACAGUGAACAACUUCUACUGUAGCGGAAGCGAUCUCUGCGUUAUCGACAAUGCGAACACAAUGUCAUCAAGCCGGAGUACCAACCGGGGCUCUUGCAUUGCAACAGUGCGCGAACAUCAGUGUAAAUGCGAGGCAGCGGCUACUGCUGCCGCCGAAGCUGACACCGCCUACAUAGAAGAGGUAGGUGAUACGAAUGCCGCUUUAGAAGGAACUUGUUGCUAUAAUAUAGUAGGUCCUAAAUGACGGGAGUCGAAAAUCAUUGAAACUUAAAUGCUGACAAAAUAGAAGCUGAAUUAAAGGAAUUCUUAAUGCCUAUUGAAUCACCAAAGCUUCUGUUUAGAAGUAACUGGCAUCGAUACAAGAAUGCCCCUACCAACUGCCCUAAUGAUGUUCCAAGAGUUGCUGGGGAAAUGGUAUUGAGCCAGGUACCUAUAAAAGAGCCAGGUAGUUAUUUCGAAGCAUUCAAAUAAGGAUUUACAUGUGAUGGAUUGUAGACAUUCAGCGCUUAGUAAUAAAAUAUGACAACUUCUCGCAAACUAAAUCACAGAGCAACUUUAAAGAAAGUAAAAAAUAUAAAGCAAUGCUCCUGGACACAAAAAUUGCGUCUAGCACUUCAUGAUUCUUUCUACACCAAAGUGACCAGAGUGAAUGGUAUAUGGAUGCUAAGAAAAAAUCACACUAAGGGUUUUAUGAGAUUUAUGUGGACUAACUUGCUGUUGGGACUUCUUCUCCUUGGGGCUUACUUGUCUUUUCAAUUGUGGCUAAAAUUCUAUUCAUAUCCUAUUUUAAAUACAAUUGGAACAGAUCUUUCAAUCACCGAUGUUGCAUUUCCAGGCAUAACUGUAUGCAGCCCUAAGGUUGUAAACUUCGAAAAAGUUCAACAAUACGUUAGGAAAUUAAUAAUUCCUGACGGGUUUGAAUACCAUGAUGUAUUGGAAGGAUUGGAUUUUAUUAACGCGUAUUUACCGAUCAAAAUUGGGUAUCUAACAAUGCUAGCUUUGAAGCAACGGACAGUGUCAUUGCUUUCAACAACAUAACCAUCUAUGAAGCUGCCUUUGAAGUGAGUGCCGGAUGUGAAGAUUUCUUUCAACAUUGCUUUUUGGGAGUCAAAGAGUUUCCAUGCAAACAAGAACAUGACUAUCUCUGUACUUUUUUACGUAAACAACAAAUCAAAAUGAAGCUUAGUCGAUUUGACUUCUGCCGUUCAGUUGAUUCGUGAGAAGAUGUUAAUUUUGCA